UAUCUGUUCUUAUCAGUUUAAUAUCUGAUAUGUUCUUUCUUUGAGGACUGUAUAUUAAAUUGAUUUUUGAACAGGGGCUGGAAUAGGAGCUUGCUCUUCCACACCAUGCAUACUGGUAUUGCAAUGCCUCCGGAACCGGGNN
rnacentral:snRNA from 1 species